UAGCAAAGUACGACCGGGAACCAGACUAUCUCGGCUGUGGAAACAUCCGACUAAAAGUCAACAGGUUGGUUUUUUGUACUUUCGGUUUCUACAACCAUAAUAAUAAAUAUAGAAAUAAUGUAUUGUUUGCUCACUUAUUUUAGGUGGACUUUUACAACAAAUAUUUGAAAUAAACUUGUCAACAACUUCCAGCAUUAAAUUACUAUUUGUUUAGACCGAAAUGCCGCAGGUCAAUCCGAAGACUGAUGGAAAGGGCCGAAUAGUUGCGGUUGUGGAAUUGCAAAGUCAACAGACCGGACUGCAAGUAAUACAAGAACAGAGUUAUUGAGGGAUUUCUAUUGCCACUUUUACACAAUUUAAUCUAAAUCAAUUCUAGCUGAAUUAAAUCAUGGAUGAUCUCACACCACCAGCGUUAUCUAGAUCCAUUAGCCAUGAGUCAGAAGCAUCUCACUACACCGAUGCUCUGUCCAGUUUCGAAGAUGACGAAGACGAGAUAUUUGAUGAUAUUUGCGAUGUUCCUUUUUUUCAAAAGUGACGAA